ensembl:lncRNA
CAAUAUUUCCCUGCAGUCUUUGCAACCCCUGAAUUGUAGCAUGUUGUUUGUGCAGAAGAAGCUGAAAGUGAAACUGUCUGAAAAUGAGAGUGAAGAAAACUGGCCUGCUUCUAUAAUUUCAGCAGAAAGCACCUCAGGUAAACAAAAUGGCACACUUGUGCAAUCAGCGAUGAAGAAUUCUCCCUAUAUAAAUGGCUGAAGUGAAACAAGUGGAGAGAGCCAGUGGUGCCUUCCUACUGAUAGGACCGAAUCCCAGCACGGAGCCAUCGCCACAGGCAGGAGGAUGACAAACAGGAGGCACAACAGCACCAGGCAGAGAUCCCACCAGCCAAAAGCAUCUUCAAAACUCCUAAGCAAUCCUCUUUUCAGAGCAUCUCCUUUCAUGCACGUGAGAUAUAAGGAGAGCUCAGGAAGAUCCUUCGAUGAAAGCCUUCCUCCCAAGUUGUCGCCUUUGAAGAAGAGCCUCAGUGCCAGUGAAGCUCCACUGGAAUUUGCCCUUUCCCAUGAUUCACAAUGGAGAUGUGAUGUAAUUUCUGAGCCACGCUCCCUCUGGAACAUACCACACAGACUCUGGGCUCUUGCAGAACUGUGCAUCUUGCAGAACUGUCCACAUGGGUGACCCUCAUGUUGAUAAUCUGCAGUGAACCAGGUGGGGUUAUGUACAGUAUAGUUGUAGCUGGUGGCAGCACAGCCAGUAAAAGAGCACCGUUACUGCUUCAGCAUUAGCAAGAAAUGGUGCCAAAAGCUGGCUGAGAUCAUGUAAAUAGCUCAUGGAGUUGGGGGGAUGUGAGGAUUAUGAUUACCUGGUGCUGCAGAGGGGAGAAAAGAUGCUCAUGCCCACAGGGGAGAGCGCUCGUUGCCAGCAGGGAUAUGGGGUCGGUGCAGCUCCUGCCCUGCACGCCAGAAUGUUGGACUGCAGGGCUGGCUGAGCUGCAGCCAGCUCACAUUGCUGUGUAAGGCAGUGUUUAAAAAAUAGAAUCAACACAUCAAACAAUAUGUCAUGUAAGUUUUCCAUGUCAAGGAAAAUAGCCUGAGGCCCUUCUUCCCACAUUUGCUGCUACAACAGCCAGACAACCUGGCCCCAAAAUUUAUUCUGGGCUCUAAUCAGGAAAAAUCCCUGUGAUCUCUGAGGUUGGGCUUCACAGUUUUGGAAAGAGAUGAUAUGGUUCCUAGAAGGAAGGCUCUUGCCCACUGUUCUUGAGGUCUGUGGUCACUGUGAGAGUCGCGCUCAUCAUGCACCUCCUGCUGAAAAAGUGGAAAUGCUCUCAUUUGCCCCAGUCAUCUCUGUGCAGUAAACAUCCAGCGUAGCAGCUUCUGAGCCAUUACUCAUGCUAUGUUUCCCUCUGUAUACACAAAAGCAGAUGCUAUCCAGCACCCAGAUGACCCCAAGUUCUGCUUUCAUCCUGCGCUAGUUUUGUUUUAUUUCUUUCUCCAAAUUCUUCAUGCUGAGGUUUAGCUUUCCCCAGGAUUUUGUUGCCCCAAGAACAAAGCUGACCCUCCACAAACCAUGCACAGUGAGGCUGUGCAGGAUGCGUGCUCACUCUUAUUCUUGAUUUUUGUUCCCUAAUUUAGAGCACAAAUAAAAUUGCCAAGUUCCACA